rnacentral:rRNA from 1 species
GAUGACGCUGGCGGCAGGCCUAAUACAUGCAAGUCGAACGGAUGGAGGAGGGGUGAGUGGGGUCUGGGAAACUGCGUGAUGUAGGGGGCUAACGGCGGGAAACGGUAGAUAAUAGCGCUAAACGUGGGUUCUGGCCAGAUGGGAUUCGCUAGUGGGUGGGGUAACGGCUCAUCAAGGCGACGCACCCUAGCUGGUACGAGAGGCUGACCUGCCACACUGGAACUGAGACACGGCCCAGACUCCUACGGGAGGCAGCAGUGGGGAAUAUUGCACAAUGGGCACAAGUCUGAUACAGCCAUGCCGCGUGUAUGAAGAAGGCCUUCGGGUUGUAAAGUACUUUCGGCGGGGAGGCGUUAUCCGCACAGGAAGCCCCGGCUAACUCCGUGCCAGCAGCCGCGGUAAUAC